rnacentral:rRNA from 1 species
AAAUGUAGUAUGUUUAGGCAUCUAAAACAUAUUAAAGAAGGGGAUCUUCGGACCUUUCGGUUAAGGGAGAGUCUAUGGGAUAUCAGCUUGUUGGUGGGGUAAUGGCCUACCAAGGCUUUGACGUCUAGGCGGAUUGAGAGAUUGACCGCCAACACUGGGACUGAGACACUGCCCAGACUUCUACGGAAGGCUGCAGUCGAGAAUCUUUCGCAAUGGACGAAAGUCUGACGAAGCGACGCCGCGUGUGUGAUGAAGGCUCUAGGGUUGUAAAGCACUUUCGCUUGGGAAUAAGAGAGAUUGGCUAAUAUCCAAUCGAUUUGAGCGUACCAGGUAAAGAAGCACCGGCUAACUCCGUGCCAGCAGCUGCGGUAAUACGGAGGGUGCUAGCGUUAAUCGGAUUUAUUGGGCGUAAAGGGCGUGUAGGCGGAAAGGAAAGUUAGAUGUUAAAUCUUGGGGCUCAACCCCAAGCCAGCAUCUAAUACUAUCUUUCUAGAGGGUAGAUGGAGAAAAGGGAAUUCCACGUGUAGCGGUGAAAUGCGUAGAUAUGUGGAAGAACACCAGUGGCGAAGGCGCUUUUCUAAUUUACACCUGACGCUAAGGCGCGAAAGCAAGGGGAGCAAACAGGAUUAGAUACCCUGGUAGUCCUUGCCGUAAACGAUGCAUACUUGAUGUGGAUAGUCUCAACCCUAUCCGUGUCGUAGCUAACGCGUUAAGUAUGCCGCCUGAGGAAUACACUCGCAAGGGUGAAACUCAAAAGAAUUGACGGGGGCCCGCACAAGCAGUGGAGCAUGUGGUUUAAUUCGAUGCAACGCGAAGAACCUUACCUGGGCUUGACAUGUAUUUGACCGCGGCAGAAAUGUCGUUUUCCGCAAGGACAGAUACACAGGUGCUGCAUGGCUGUCGUCAGCUCGUGCCGUGAGGUGUUGGGUUAAGUCCCGCAACGAGCGCAACCCUUAUCGUUAGUUGCCAACACUUAGGGUGGGAACUCUAAUGAGACUGCCUGGGUUAACCAGGAGGAAGGCGAGGAUGACGUCAAGUCAGCAUGGCCCUUAUGCCCAGGGCUACACACGUGCUACAAUGGCCAGUACAGAAGGUAGCAAUAUCGCAAGAUGGAGCAAAUCCUCAAAGCUGGCCCCAGUUCGGAUUGUAGUCUGCAACUCGACUACAUGAAGUCGGAAUUGCUAGUAAUGGCGUGUCAGCUAUAACGCCGUGAAUMCG